AGCGAGCGCUGGCGGCAGGCCUAACACAUGCAAGUCGAGCGCCCAGCAAUGGGAGCGGCAGACGGGUGAGUAACGCGUGGGGAUGUGCCCAAUGGUGCGGAAUAACCCAGGGAAACUUGGAUUAAUACCGCAUGUGCCCUUCGGGGGAAAGAUUUAUCGCCAUUGGAUCAACCCGCGUCUGAUUAGCUAGUUGGUGAGGUAAAGGCUCACCAAGGCGACGAUCAGUAGCUGGUCUGAGAGGAUGAUCAGCCACACUGGGACUGAGACACGGCCCAGACUCCUACGGGAGGCAGCAGUGGGGAAUAUUGGACAAUGGGCGCAAGCCUGAUCCAGCCAUGCCGCGUGAGUGAUGAAGGCCUUAGGGUUGUAAAGCUCUUUCGCCGGUGAAGAUAAUGACGGUAACCGGAGAAGAAGCCCCGGCUAACUUCGUGCCAACCGCCGCCGUAA
rnacentral:rRNA from 1 species